rfam:Deltaproteobacteria bacterium RIFOXYD12_FTLL_55_16 rifoxyd3_full_scaffold_199, whole genome shotgun sequence.
GGGCGGGUAGCUCAGUUGGAUAGAGUGUUGGCCUCCGAAGCCAAAGGUCGUGGGUUCGAUCCCCGCUCCGCCCA